rnacentral:rRNA from 1 species
GAUGAACGCUGGCGGCGUGCCUAAUACAUGCAAGUCGAGCGAACAGACGAGGAGCUUACUCCUCUGACGUUAGCGGCGGACGGGUGAGUAACACGUGGAUAACCUACCUAUAAGAUUGGGAUAACUUCGGGAAACCGGAGCUAAUACCGGAUAACAUGUUGAACCGCAUGGUUCAACAGUGAAAGACGGUCUUGCUGUCACUUAUAGAUGGAUCCGCGUCGCAUUAGCUAGUUGGUAAGGUAACGGCUUACCAAGGCAACGAUGCGUAGCCGACCUGAGAGGGUGAUCGGCCACACUGGAACUGAGACACGGUCCAGACUCCUACGGGAGGCAGCAGUAGGGAAUCUUCCGCAAUGGGCGAAAGCCUGACGGAGCAACGCCGCGUGAGUGAAGAAGGUCUUCGGAUCGUAAAACUCUGUUAUUAGGGAAGAACAAAUGUGUAAGUAACUAUGCACGUCUUGACGGUACCUAAUCAGAAAGCCACGGCUAACUACGUG